AUAAUUUCCCACACUUUCCACAAAUUUCUUCUUUCUCCUGCUCCCGCCUCCAUCUCCCUCCUGCCAUCUUUUCUUUCCCCAAAUUUCGUUUUGCUCCUCCCUCUGCCCCUCCCUCCUCGCUCCUUCAUGCACGCAGCGGAGUCCUCCCGCCAUUGAAUUUCAAGCCGCCGCCCACAGCGUCUCCUUGAUCCCUGCAUCCAUGGCGAUCGCGGAUGCGCACAAUGGAGCUUUCCUCGUCAUGCCUCGACAAAUCUAAACUAAAAUUUCUUCAUCAAUCCUAGCGGUGACCUGCGCAUUUCGAUAUCUCAAGCUUCCCAAGUGAAUUCAUUGAUGGCGGAGGAGGACAUCAACGCCGCGAGAAGGAGGCUGGCCGCUGUGGCCAACCAUCUCAUGGUUUUGGCUCACCCUGCGCUACCCAAUCGCAACUCCAUCGUCUCGUGCGCCAACGCUGAGUCCGCGAACGACAGCUACCGCAGGGUUCACGGCGAAGUUCCCGAUCACGAGGCCGUGUGGAGAGUCGUUGCGCGCGGUGAUGAAUCUGGCGAGUUCACCCAUGAUUAGUCCAAUUUAACCAAUUAUGAAAUUGGAACUUCGUGAAGUUAAGAGGAAAAGUGGGGCUCUUCAAAUGCAGCAGUUUGUUGGUGAAGAAAAAAAAUGAUUUGCUGGAUUACUUAAGAUCUCUACAGCCAGAAAAGGUACAUAUUGGUUUUUACUGAUGUGCACACUUAAAGGGUUGUUUGAGCCUUGAUCUUGCAAGACUUUCAAUGGGAUAUGGAAUUCGGCUUCUUUCUUAUGUGGGUUUGCAACUGUUACAAUGCCCGCACGACGCAACUUUUGACUUUUUUUGUUAUCUGAACAGAUGAAAUUUCUAUAUUUGAAUUUGAAUUUGUAUAAUGUAUUUAUAUUUAAAUUUGAAUUUGUAUAAUAUAUUUGUAUUUGAAUUUGAAUUUGAAUUUGAAUUUGUAUUAAAUUUGAAUUAGAAUUUUGAAUAAUUUAUGAAUUUUUUAGCAAUUAUGCUUUAA